rnacentral:rRNA from 1 species
GUAUACGCCCUCCGGGGGAUGACCAUGGUGAAGAUCGGUCGCGUUAGAUUAGUAGUUGGUGAGGUAACGGCUACCAAGGUACGAUUAUAGCUGGUCUGAGAGGUGAUCAGCCACCUGGAACUGAGACACGGUCCAGACUCCUACGGGAGGCAGCAGUGGGGAAUUUGCACAAUGGGCGCAAGCCUGAUGCAGCCACGCCGCGUGAAUGAUGAAGGCCUUAGGGUCGUAAAAUUCUUUCGCCAAGGAUGAUAAUGACAGUACUUGGUAAAGAAGCCCCGGCUAACUUCGUGCCAGCAGCCGCGGUAAUACGAAGGGGGCUAGCGUUGUUCGGAAUUACUGGGCGUAAAGCGCACGUAGGCGGACUUUUUAAGUCAGAUGUGAAAUCCCAAGGCUCAACCUUUGGAACUUGCAUUUUGAAACUUGGGAGUCUAGAGAUCAGGAGAGGUUAGUGGAAUACCGAGUGUAGAGGUGAAAUUCGUAGAUAUUCGGUGGAACACCAGUGGCGAAGGCGACUAACUGGACUGAUACUGACGCUGAGGUGCGAAAGUGUGGGGAGCAAACAGGAUUAGAUACCCUGGUAGUCCACACCGUAAACGAUGAGUGCUAGUU